rnacentral:rRNA from 1 species
GAUGAACGCUGGCGGCGUGCUUAACACAUGCAAGUCGAACGGAAAGGCUCCUGCUUGCAGGGGUACUCGAGUGGCGAACGGGUGAGUAACACGUGGGUGAUCUGCCCUGCACUUCGGGAUAAGCCUGGGAAACUGGGUCUAAUACCGGAUAGGACGAUGGUUUGGAUGCCAUUGUGGAAAGUUUUUCGGUGUGGGAUGAGCUCGCGGCCUAUCAGCUUGUUGGUGGGGUAAUGGCCUACCAAGGCGUCGACGGGUAGCCGGCCUGAGAGGGUGUACGGCCACAUUGGGACUGAGAUACGGCCCAGACGCCUACGGGAGGCAGCAGUGGGGAAUAUGGCACAAUGGGCGCAAGCCUGAUGCAGCGACGCCGCGUGGGGGAUGACGGCCUUCGGGUGGUAAACUCCUUUCGCUAGGGACGAAGCGCAAGUGACGGUACCUGGAGAAGAAGCACCGGCUAACUACGU